CAGCAGCCGCGGUAACACAGAGGGUGCGAGCGUUAAUCGGAUUUACUGGGCGUAAAGCGUGCGUAGGCGGCUUUUUAAGUCGGAUGUGAAAUCCCUGAGCUUAACUUAGGAAUUGCAUUCGAUACUGGGAAGCUAGAGUAUGGGAGAGGAUGGUAGAAUUCCAGGUGUAGCGGUGAAAUGCGUAGAGAUCUGGAGGAAUACCGAUGGCGAAGGCAGCCAUCUGGCCUAACACUGACGCUGAGGUACGAAAGCAUGGGGAGCAAACAGGAUUAGAUACCCCAGUAGUCCCUGUCUCUUAUAC
rnacentral:rRNA from 1 species